AAUGAACGCUGGCGGCGUGCCUAACACAUGCAAGUCGGAUGUGCCGCAAGGUGCAUGGCAGACGGGUGAGUAACGCGUGGGGAAUCUACCUUUUUGUGGGGAAUAACGUUCCGAAAGGGAUGGUAAUACCGCAUGUGAUCGUGGUUUGGGAUAGUCACGAUGAAAGCUGGGGACCGAAAGGCCUGGCGCAAGAAGAGGAUCCUGCGUCUGAUUAGCUAGUUGGUGAGGUAAUGGCCCACCAAGGCAUCGAUCAGUAGCCGGCCUGAGAGGGUGAUCGGCCACACUGGAACUGAGACACGGUCCAGACUCCUACGGGUGGCAG
rnacentral:rRNA from 1 species